rnacentral:rRNA from 1 species
AUUGAACGCUGGCGGCAUGCCUUACACAUGCAAGUCGAACGGCAGCAUGAUCUAGCUUGCUAGAUUGAUGGCGAGUGGCGAACGGGUGAGUAAUACAUCGGAACGUGCCCUGUAGUGGGGGAUAACUAGUCGAAAGAUUAGCUAAUACCGCAUACGACCUGAGGGUGAAAGUGGGGGACCGCAAGGCCUCAUGCUAUAGGAGCGGCCGAUGUCUGAUUAGCUAGUUGGUGAGGUAAAGGCUAACCAAGGCGACGAUCAGUAGCUGGUCUGAGAGGACGAUCAGCCACACUGGGACUGAGACACGGCCCAGACUCCUACGGGAGGCAGCAGUGGGGAAUUUUGGACAAUGGGCGAAAGCCUGAUCCAGCAAUGCCGCGUGUGUGAAGAAGGCCUUCGGGUUGUAAAGCACUUUUGUCCGGAAAGAAAUGGCUCUGGUUAAUACCUGGGGUCGAUGACGGUACCGGAAGAAUAAGGACCGGCUAACUACGUG